GGACGCUGGGCAGAGGUAAUCAGACGCCGGGGCUCAAGGGGACAGCCCCGGAGGGUGGAGCUGGCGGCCAGGGCCACAGAGAACAGGAGCCACCAGUGCGUUCAGGACGCCUGCUGGGAUCUGCCGGAGAAGCAGCACUGGGCGUCGUGGGCCACCUAGGUCAUCCUCACCCCUCAGGCAGUCGGCUCCGCCCCUUCCACCUCCCUGGGGCCAGUGGGGCUCCGUUUACCCCUUUCUGCGCAAACCCUCCAGGCAGCCUGGCCUUCCCCGGCUGUAUCGGAACAGCCACAGCUCCAGCUCUGGGGGCCCGGGCACCACCAGGUUCACGUUCCUCCAGCCGCCCAGCCCCCCGCAGCUUCAACUGCCGCUCAGCUCAGCUCACUGCUCCCGGGGAGAGCGGGGGACAGAGGGCAGAGCCAGGGCUGGGGCACAAUCUGGCUUUCGCGGGGUCUGUUGCUCUACCUGUCAUCCUCUCUAGGUGCACCCCGGCCGGGGGUGCAGGGUGGGGCGCAGCGGGUACCUUGGGCUGCUCUGGACUCACCGGAGUGGGAUCUUGACGCGGAGGUAGCGGUCCACGGCAAUCGCCAGCAGGGCCAGGAUGGAGCUCUGGGUGAGGAUGAGGACAGGGCAGGCGACCAUGAGGCAGGUGUGGAAGUAGGUCCUUGGCCCGAUAUUGAUGAGGAUGGCCAGCGGGAUGACCAGGGCGCCCACCGCCACGUCAGCCACCGCCAGCGACACGAUGAAGCAGAAGGUGGCAUCCCGCAGCGCCUGGUUCACCUUCACUGCCCAGAUCACCAGCACGUUCCCGGGCACAGAGACCAGGGCGAUGAGCACCUCGAUGCCAAUGUAGGCGGCCUGGAAGGCCGAGAUGGCGGGCGGCAUGGCAGGCGCGGGCCGGGCACAUCAGCAGAGACCCUGGCCUGAGAAACCCUUGUUGGUGGAUAUUGGAAAUGGGUCUGGGAGGGCAAAGAGAACCAGUGUCACCGGACCACACCCAGGCCCCAGAGGGCACUGCCCCCUUGCUGGGUCUUGGGAGGAGGCAUCUUCAGCUGCAGAGGACACCUGAGCCCACCCCCAACUCCUCUAACUGUGGGUGGUUGACGUUUAGUGGAUACGUUUGCGCAAUACCUGUACAUCAUUUGUUUUUCCUCGGUUCUGGGUAAAAUGAACUAAAACCCUCUUCCCUCUCUCCCUUCCUCCCUCAACCUCUGCUUGUUCCCAGGGCCAGGCCUCCUGGGGGAUUAGACUGGCCUGUCUGAAAACAGAGCUGGCCCAGUCAGGGUCCCUCCCAGAGUAUCCUGGAAAACACACCAUCUCCUCAAGUCUUUGGCAGGUCAGUGGUGAACACAAUGCUCCUGGGUGACAGAGCCAUUCGGUGCAGUGAGAAGAGCACUUGAUCAAGAGUUGGAAGAGCUGGAAGCUGACUCACUGGAUGGGGGUCCAAGCAAAUCUCUUCUCCUCCCUGGGUGCCCGUUUACCCAUCGGUCAGCUUAGCCGAUUGACAUCUUUCGUCCUCUCCUGCUCCAACAGCUGGUAAGUCCGUUCCAAGGUAGGAAACAUGGAGACCACGGGUUCUGGGUCUUCCUACCUGGAAACCUUCUGAGUCCUGGCUGCCCCACGUAGGACAGACUCCAGGACGGAGUGGAGGAGAGCUCUGUGGUGGGGGAAGGGGGACGUCGGGUCUAUAGUGGGAAGAAGACGACAUGGGAAGGUGUGGGCAGAGCAGAGGGAACAAGAUACGGAGAGUUUGCACCGAGCCAAAAACUCUGGCUUUCGAAGUCUGUCCGGGACCCCUAACUAGAGGACCCCCAAGGGUCCACUCCUGCUCUGCAGACCAUGAGCCUCCAUGCUUUCCCCCGCCUGGAACAGCCGAGUCUUGGUUUCCUCAUCCAUAAAUGGGUGUGGGAACUGCACCUCGCCUCGUCGUUGUGAGGCCUUGAGCCGACUUGCGGGGUGUGGGUGGGAUUUUAUCCACAAGGCAAGUGGGCGGCACCAGGCAGGUGGACUCGGCUCCACGCGGCCAGUCAUGCUGAUCCCACAGGUUCCAGAGCUGGGGACACUCACGGAGUCCUUACCCAGCGAAAGCUUCUCUCUGGCCUGUGGCUCUGGGGGCAGGAGAAUAAGAUCUCAGUCCCCCUAGGGCUUUGCCCCUUCACCUCUGGUCCCACUUCUUUGCUUCUGGAGCCCCACCCUGGGCUGCUCGGGGCCUCCCACUCCUGCAGUCUCUGUGCUGCCAGCAGGGGUGUAGGGGGAAGAGAGGGGGCUGAAGUGGGAGCACCACUGAGGGCAACCCUGCAUGCCCUCCUUGCUAGAGUCCUCCCAGCAAGAGAAGCCACUGCUGAGCACGCCUUCCUCCGGGUACCGGUGGGAAGGGUGUAGCCAGGCCAGGCCAGCUAGCGGCCCCACCCAAGAGCCUGCGGGAGUGGACAAGGUUAUGAGCUUGGCCUCUUUCCCUUUCCAGCGGGCGGGAGGCUAUCUGGUCCCUGGGUGUCUUUCGGCGUUGUUCUGGGCGGUGUGUGUCCAAGGAGGGGGAGGAGGGCUGCGCCAGGGCCUCAGGUGGGAGGAGAAGCCCCGCUCCCCCUGCCCCCGCUCCGGGGAGCGCACCUCCAGGCCCCUGCAGUGACUUCCUCCGCCUUCAGGUCUGGACUCCAGGUCUCUCUGCCUCCUCGUCCCCUAUCCCCUCUCCGGCACCCAGGUCAGAGGCUCCUGAGGAGGAGACGCCAGGGAAGGAGCGCAGAGUGGCCUGUGUGCUCCCCGCGUGUCCUCCCACCGCUGAGGGCAGGGGAGGCAUGGGCCGGGCCGGGCAGCCAGUGCGAGUUCCCGAAGGAGGCCGCCCCUCGGCUUCUGUCCCAGCCCCGGUGCCCCUGCGUGCAUCCACUCCUCCUUCUGUCCUGUUCAACAAGCAUUUAUCAGAUCCCUUUUUGGAUCAGACAGUGAGCCGAGCACCGGGGACAGAGAGAGAAGAAAACCAGUCUCCCCCCAUAGUUUCAGAAAGCGCUCCAGUCAGGCAGAGGAGUGGGAGGUCUUUCCAGCCUCAGUCUACCCCACCUUCCUCUUGCUGAAUUUCAGGAGGGAUGAAGAAGCCUGAUGCCAGAGCUGCAGGCUGGCCAAGCCCUCUCACCAGUGGGCAGGCAGGGCGCGGGCUGUGGGCGAGGCUUUCGGGGCUUGAGCUCUGGGACCCCCGGGGUGGGAAGGAGCCACCCCGCGUCAGCUAGAGCGCUGACCUCCCGUGUGGGUUCCUGGUGUGAGGCUUUAUGUCAAGGUAAGAGUUUAUUAGUUCUGUGCCUUUAAAUACUAGAAAAUCUGAACGUCAACCCAACCUCAUCAUUGUGUACAAAGGAAACCGAGACCCAGAGGAGCAGUGAACUUGGUCAGACCCACCCACGAGAUGGGGGAGAGCCCGGUACCACGGGGGAGAUGGCCACAAGUGAGCCACACUCUGGCCUGGGUCCGCGGACCCCUUUGAGCACCAGCCCUUUAAACCCGCCGGGCUCUCAGCCUCACCUGCUCAUCGGGAGGGAGGAGGCCCAGACGCAGCCGAGCGGCAUCCGGUGGACCACGACGCCACGCCACGGUGAUAGAGGUGUGGCAGCGGCACGGCAAGUUAACAUCUGUGAACACGCACAUUAUGUUCCACGCGGAGCGGCCCCUCUAAUACUCACCGCACGCCCGGCAGAGAGCAACGCCACAGUCAGCGGCACCCGGGAGGUCAGAGGGAACCGCCUGGCAGGGCCGGUACUGACCCAGAUGCGGAGCCCUGUGCUCAUGCAGGGGCACGGGAGGGUCAGGGUGAUGGGAGUCGCUGCACCCGUUGAUCUGGAAGCGGUUCUUGGAGGAGAGAAUCCCCAGCAGCCUCAUGGAUGCAUUUGCUGGCUCUACCGGUAUGUGUCGGAGACUUACCAUGAGACAGCGCCAGUCCGAGGUGCCCUCCGAGUGCUUGCAGCGUGGGACCCAGAGGCCUGGGUCAGGCCUGCUUAGAAUCAGCUGAAGCUCCAAGGGAUAUGUUCCGGGACCUCCCUGGGCCUGCCCGGCCCGGGUUGGGUCUUGGAGGAGGAGCAGGGUGCUCUGUGUUUGUGGAGAAGUUCUGGUGGCAUGGAGGAGGGGUUUCUGGGCAAGAGCGGGGCCUUGGCCAGGGCACCGACCUCAGGCUGGGCAGCAGGGUGACGGCUGGGGGCCAUGCUGCUGGUGGCCUCCCGGGGGAGGCUGAGAAGACUCGAGUGGGCCAUGCAUCUAGUUAAACCCAGAAGGCCUCAGCCUCAGCCCCGGCUCCACCCCGUAGCACCAGGUGAACCCAAGCACUCACCACAUCUCUCCAAGCCUCAGUCUUUUUUUCCAUAAAAGAGGAAUAAUUACAUUGCCUGUUUUUUGUUUGUUUGUUUGUUUGUUUGUUUGUAAGUGCUUUUCAGGUUGUAAAUCACUGGGCGAAUAUCAUGAUCUCCUCUAUGGGAGACGGGAAGCCUCUGGGCCUUUUUGAGCAGGAGGCCGAAGAAUCUGAAAGAUGCUUUGGAAAGAUCAUUCUGUGACCCUGUGCAGAGCGGGCUGGAGGAGCGAGAGGUAAAACAGGAAGACCUGUCCUGGCCACAGAAGAUUAGAAGCCACCAUAAGAGGAAAUGGUGGGAACAGAGAAAAUAGACAAGAGAGAUGUCACAUGGGACCCCCCAGGGCUCCUUGGCCAGUCACGCAGAGCAGCCAGGGAGAAUGGAGAGGCGCUGACUCGGAUCCCCAACUUGGGCUCCUGGGGGGUCCUGGCCACUGUCAGGCGGACACGACACAGGAGAGGCAAGUUUCGGGGACUGAGCAAGGAGGACAGGUUGGGUGGGAUGUGCGUAAGGGGACAUCCAGGAGCAAGGGCCAGCAGGCUUGUGCAAGUGGCCAAGGAGGCAGUCACAGCUCCAGCUGGGUCAUCUCAUGAGGCAGAGGUCAAAGCCCUGGGAGAGAUGAGGUCGCUCGGGGAAGCAUGCAGAAGGAAAAAUGGAGGGGAACAGCCAGAGGGGGAGCGGGCUAGCAGGUGUUUCAGGAAGAAGGGUGCUGAGUGCCUCAGGAUCCCAGGGGGGAAGUGGUAGGAUGCGGUGACAGAAGGGGAGGAGCGGGAGUAGAGGCCCCAUCUGUCUCCAGGGUUAACGCUGGCGGGGGGGGGGGGGCCUCAGGGAAGGGAAUAAAAGCUGGACAGUUGGCGGCGGGAGACUGGGGUCGAGAAGAGGCUGGUUUCAGGCGGGGAGAUCUGAGCAUGCUCACAGCCGAGGGAGCGAAGCAGGGGCAAGGAGAGGUGAAUCAGAGGGAAGAGCAACUGAGAACAGACCCUGCUUGUCAAGGACCCUAAGUGGUUGAUGACAGCCGGCUGGGCACGGCGGGUGCUCACAGCCCUGGGAGUGCUAGUUCUCCAGCAUCUCCCCCGGAGCACCCCCCCUGCCCGGCGCUGCCCCACCCCCACCGCGCCCAGCAGACACGUGCCAGCAGUUUGCCCGCCACAUUGCACACCAAUUAAAGAAUCAGCCUUGUCCAGGCACCAGCAUCUCCUCAUCUGGCAGCGGGUGGCCCAGCCCCGCCCCUGACCCUAGCCCACAGGGCGCCAGCCACGGACUGCUUGGCUUCUCCGGCCCGAUUGCAGCCAGAGUGGUACCUCUGGGCAGCCCACCUGCCCCCCUACACCACCUGGAGACGCCGAGUGGGCUCCAUCACUUAACAGACUCAAUAGAGCUCCCUGCCCAGCCACCCCAUCCUGACCAAGACAGGCUCCCCACCUUCCCGGACUCCCCAGACACCAUCUGCAGGAUGCAAGGGCCGGGAUCCCCUGCUUCCUCUCCCUGCAGUGGGCAGAAGGGUAAAUCAAGGCAGGGGAGCUCCCGUGGCUGUCGGAGGUCAGGCAGGGUGGCAUCCGGACUCCCUAGAGCUUCCCUAUUCCUUCCCACACAUCAAACAGUGCCCUCGCACCUCAGGAAGGAGAAGGAGGCCCGUUACCUCUGUAUGUUCUCAGAGGGAGAAGAAGGCCCUGAAGAUCGGGGGAGAGAGGGAAGGAGGAGCACAAGUAGCAUUUCUAGAUUAAACUCAGGACACCCAGAGACAUUUUUAAAGAGCUUUAUUGGUGUGUAGUUUACACAUCAUGAAGUUCACCCAUUUGAAGUGUAACACUCCAUGAUUUUUCAGCAUAAUUAACAGAAUUGUGCGGCCAUCCCCAUAAUUUAAUUUUGGAACAUUUUCAUCACCCUCACUCCCUGAGCCCUCUCCAGUCCUACGCAGACCCAGCAGCCACUCCUCUGCUUGCCGUCCCUGUGGAUGCUCCUGCCCUGGACCUUCCACGUGGAUGGAACCAUGCCCUGGGGGCCCGGGCACUGGCUUCUUCCACUUGGUGUGACGUUUUCCAAGUCCCUCUCUAUCGGACGUGUCCGUACCUCAUUCUUUUUCAGGACUGAGUAAUAUUCCAUCUCGUGCCUGUACCACGUUGUAUUUACCCAUUCGUCAGUUGAUGGACGUUCGGGUGGUUUCCACUUUCAGGCUCCUAUAAAUAAUGCUGCUAUGAAA